rnacentral:sRNA from 1 species
UGCUCCGUGAGGCGGUGCACCUGUUGUAC